rnacentral:rRNA from 1 species
CAAGGGGGCCUGGGCAACCAGGCAACCGGCGAACGGGUGCGUAACACGUGACCAACCUGCCCUCGUGUGGGGGAUAGCCGGGCUAACGCCCGGGUAAUACCGCAUACGUUCUUCCGGGGGAGUCUUCGGGAGAGGAAAGCUUUGGGUAACCAAGGCGCACGGGGAGGGGGUCGCGGCCUAUCAGCUAGUUGGCGGGGUAACGGCCCACCAAGGCGACGACGGGUAGCUGGUCUGAGAGGAUGGCCAGCCACAUUGGGACUGAGAGACGGCCCAGACUCCUACGGGAGGCAGCAGUGGGGAAUCUUGCGCAAUGGUCGAGAGACUGACGCAGCGACGCCGCGUGUGGGAGGACGCCUUUCGGGGUGUAAACCACUGUUGCCCGGGACGAACGCGCUUAUUCGUAAGCGUUGACGGUACCGGGUGAGGAAGCACCGGCUAACUCCGUGCCAGCAGCCGCGGUAAUACGGAGGGUGCGAGCGUUGUCCGGAAUCAUUGGGCGUAAAGGGCGCGUAGGUGGCCCGGUCAGUCUUUGGUGAAAGCGCGGGGCUCAACCCUGCGUCGGCCAGGGAUACUGCCGCGGCUGGAGCACUGUAGAGGCAGGCGGAAUUCCGGGUGUAGCGGUGGAAUGCGUAAAGAUCCGGAAGAACACCGGUUGGCGAAGGCGGCCUGCUGGGCAGUUUUGCUGACACUGAGGCGCGACAGCGUGGGGAGCAAACAGGAUUAGAUACCCUGGUAGUCCACGCCGUAAACGAUGGGCACUAGGCGCUUGGGGGAGCGACCCCCCGAGGGCCGGCGCUUACGCAUUAAGUGCCCCGCCUGGGGGAGUACGGCCGCAAGGCUGAAACUCAAAGGAAUUGACGGGGGCCGCACAAACGGUGGAGCAUGUG